CAGCACCCCGAGUGGUCGGGACGAUUAUUGGGCCUAAAGCAUCCGUAGCCGGUUCUACAAGUCUUCCGUUAAAUCCACCUGCUUAACAGAUGGGCUGCGGAGGAUACUAUAGAGCUAGGAGGCGGGAGAGGCAAGCGGUACUUAGUGGGUAGGGGUAAAAUCCGUUGAUCCAUUGAAGACCACCAGUGGCGAAGGCGGCUUGCCAGAACGCACUCGACGGUGAGGGAUGAAAGCUGGGGGAGCAAACCGGAUUAGAUACCCGGGUAGUCCCAGCUGUAAACGAUGCAGACUCGGUGAUGAAUAGGCUUCGUGCCUAUUCAGUGCCGCAGGGAAGCCGUUAAGUCUGCCGCCUGGGGAGUACGGUCGCAAGACUGAA
rnacentral:rRNA from 1 species